UCAUUUUGCAUAUAUGUCCUUACAACCUG
rnacentral:piRNA from 1 species